rnacentral:tRNA from 1 species
GGGCGUUUAGCUCAGUUGGUUAGAGCGCUGCUUUCACACGGCAGAGGUCGCAGAUUCGAGUUCCGCAACGCCCA